GAUGAAGAACGCAGCAAAAUGCGAUAAGUAAUGUGAAUUGCAGAAUUCAGUGAAUCAUCGAAUCUUUGAACGCACAUUGCGCCCGCUGGUAUUCCGGCGGGCAUGCCUGUUCGAGCGUCAUUUCAACCCUCAAGCCCCCGGGUUUGGUGUUGGGGAUCGGCUCUGCCCUUCUGGGCGGUGCCGCCCCCGAAAUACAUUGGCGGUCUCGCUGCAGCCUCCAUUGCGUAGUAGCUAACACCUCGCAACUGGAACGCGGCGCGGCCAUGCCGUAAAACCCCAACUUCUGAAUGUUGACCUCGGAUCAGGUAGGACUACCCGCUGAACUUAAGCAUAUCAAUAAGCGGAGGA
rnacentral:misc_RNA from 1 species